rnacentral:rRNA from 1 species
GACGAACGCUGGCGGCGUGCCUAAUACAUGCAAGUAGAACGCACAGUUUAUACCGUAGCUUGCUACACCAUAGACUGUGAGUUGCGAACGGGUGAGUAACGCGUAGGUAACCUGCCUGGUAGCGGGGGAUAACUAUUGGAAACGAUAGCUAAUACCGCAUAAUAUUAAUUAUUGCAUGAUAAUUAAUUGAAAGGUGCAAUUGCACCACUACCAGAUGGACCUGCGUUGUAUUAGCUAGUAGGUGAGGUAACGGCUCACCUAGGCGACGAUACAUAGCCGACCUGAGAGGGUGAUCGGCCACACUGGGACUGAGACACGGCCCAGACUCCCACGGGAGGCAGCAGUAGGGAAUCUUCGGCAAUGGACGAAAGUCUGACCGAGCAACGCCGCGUGAGUGAAGAAGGUUUUCGGAUCGUAAAGCUCGGUUGUAAGAGAAGAACGGGUGUGAGAGUGGAAAGUUCACACUGUGACGGUAUCUUACCAGAAAGGGACGGCUAACUACGUG